CUCCGAAAUAUAUUUAGGUAUAGCGUUGUGUCGUAAUUAUAAGGGGUAGAGCACUGAAUGGGCUAGGGCAUAUACCAAUGUACCAAACCCUAUCAAACUCCGAAUACUUAUAAUGUAAUCACAGCAGUCAGGCGGCGAGUGAUAAAAUCCGUCGUCAAGAGGGGAACAACCCAGACUAACAGCUAAGGUCCCUAAAUCUCAUUUAAGUGGAAAACGAUGUGGAGUUACUGAAACAACCAGGAGGUUGGCUUAGAAGCAGCCAUCCUUUAAAGAAAGCGUAAUAGCUCACUGGUCUAGUGAUUCUGCGCGGAAAAUAUAACGGGGCUAAAAUGAGUACCGAAGCUUUAGACUUAGUUUUUAACUAAGUGGUAGGAGAGCGUUCUAUUCAGCGUUGAAGGUAUACCGGUAAGGAGUGCUGGAGCGGAUAGAAGUGAGCAUGCAGGCAUGAGUAGCGAUAAUUGAUGUGAGAAUCAUCAACGCCGAAAACCCAAGGUUUCCUACGCGAUGCUCGUCAUCGUAGGGUUAGUCGGGUCCUAAGCAAAGUCCGAAAGGGGUAUGCGAUGGAAAAUUGGUUAAUAUUCCAAUACCAAUUAUUAUGUGCGAUGGAAGGACGCUUAAAGUUAGUGGAGCUAGCGGAUGGAAGUGCUAGUCUAAGGGUGUAGGUUGAGUUAUAGGCAAAUCCGUAACUCUUUAUCCGAGACCUAAAAGGCUCAUGACGCUCUUCGGAGUAGAUUGAGAAUCCAUGAUACUAUCGAGCCAAGAAAAGUUUCUAAGUUUAGUAAUAAUUGCCCGUACCGUAAACCGACACAGGUGGGUGGGAUGAGUAUUCUAAGGCGCGUGGAAGAACUCUCUUUAAGGAACUCUGCAAAAUAGCACCGUAUCUUCGGUAUAAGGUGUGCCUAACUUUGUAUUAAGAUUCACUCCCAAAGCAAAGAAGGUUACAACAAAGAGUCCCUCCCGACUGUUUACCAUAAACACAGCACUCUGCUAACACGUAAGUGGAUGUAUAGGGUGUGACGCCUGCCCGGUGCUCGAAGGUUAAUUGAUGAUGUUAGCUAUGCGAAGCAUUUGAUCGAAGCCCGAGUAAACGGCGGCCGUAACUAUAACGGUCCUAAGGUAGCGAAAUUCCUUGUCGGUUAAAUACCGACCUGCAUGAAUGGCGUAACGAGAUGGGAGCUGUCUCAAAGAGGGAUCCAGUGAAAUUGUAGUGGAGGUGAAAAUUCCUCCUACCCGCGGCAAGACGGAAAGACCCCGUGGACCUUUACUACAGCUUGACACUGCUACUUGGAUAAAGAUGCGCAGGAUAGGUGGGAGGCUUUGAUCCAUAGACCCUGGUUUAUGGUGAGCCAUUGUUGAGAUACCACUCUUCUUUAUUCGGGUAGCUAACUAGCCUAAGUUAUCCUUAGGUAGGACAAUGUCUGGUGGGUAGUUUGACUGGGGCGGUCGCCUCCCAAAAUGUAACGGAGGCUUACAAAGGUUGGCUCAGAACGGUUGGAAAUCGUUCGUAGAGUAUAAAGGCAUAAGCCAGCUUAACUGCGAGACAUACACGUCAAGCAGAGACGAAAGUCGGUCUUAGUGAUCCGGUGGUUCUGUGUGGAAGGGCCAUCGCUCAAAGGAUAAAAGGUACCCCGGGGAUAACAGGCUGAUCUCCCCCAAGAGCUCACAUCGACGGGGAGGUUUGGCACCUCGAUGUCGGCUCAUCGCAUCCUGGGGCUGGAGCAGGUCCCAAGGGUAUGGCUGUUCGCCAUUUAAAGCGGUACGCGAGCUGGGUUCAGAACGUCGUGAGACAGUUCGGUCCCUAUCUGCCGUGGGCGUAAGAAGAUUGAGGAGAGUUGACCCUAGUACGAGAGGACCGGGUCGAACUAGCCACUGGUGUACCAGUUGUUCUGCCAAGAGCAUCGCUGGGUAGCUAAGCUAGGAUGAGAUAAGAGCUGAAAGCAUCUAAGCUCGAAGCCAACUCCAAGAUGAAUCUUCUUUUAAGAGCUCUAGUAGACUACUAGUUUGAUAGGCUGGGUGUGUAAUGGAUGAAAGUCCUUUAGCUGACCAGUACUAAUAGCUCGUUUGCUUAUCUUUAUAUAAGCAUCACUUC
rnacentral:rRNA from 1 species